rnacentral:rRNA from 1 species
ACCCGACCGCUAUCGGGGUGGGGCUAACCCAUGGAAGUCUAGGAGCCGGGGCUACGGCCGGCUCCGGCGGACGGCUCAGUAGCACGUGGCUAACCUACCCUCGGGAGGGGGAUAACCCCGGGAAACUNGGGAUAAACCCCCAUANNNNCGGACACCUGGAAUGGGUCCGCGCUGAAANNGCCACGGUACCAUGCUUACCGUGGCCGCCCGAGGAUNNNNNUGCGCCCUAUCAGGUAGUUGGCGGGGUAACGGCCCGCCAAGCCGAUAACGGGUGGGGGCCGUGAGAGCGGGAGCCCCGAGAUGGGCACUGANACAACCCCCGUAGUCCCAGCUGUAAACGAUGCGGGCUAGGUGUUNNNCGGGCUUCGAGCCCGUCCAGUGCCGUANGGAAGCCGUUAAGCCCGCCGCCUGGGGAGUACGGCCGCAAGGCUGAAACUUAAAGGAAUUGGCGGGGGAGCACCACAAGGGGUGAAGCUUGCGGUUUAAUUGGAGUCAACGCCGGAAACCUUACCGGGGGCGACAGCAGGAUGAAGGCCAGGCUGACGACCUUGCCAGACGAGCUGAGAGGAGGUGCAUGNNCGUCGNNNGCUCGUNCCGUGAGGUGUCCUGUUAAGUCAGGGAACGAGCGAGACCCCCGCCCCUAGUUGCUACCCAGCCCUUCGGGGCNNNNGCACUCUAGGGGGACUGCCGGCGAUAAGNNNNAGGAAGGUGGGGGCUACGGCAGGUCAGUAUGCCCCGAAACCCCCGGGCUACACGCGAGCUGCAAUGGCGGGGACAGCGGGUUCCGACCCCGAAAGGGGGAGGUAAUCCCUUAAACCCCGCCUCAGUAGGAAUCGAGGGCUGCAACUCGCCCUCGUGAACGUGGAAUCCCUAGUAACCGCGUGUCACCAACGCGCGGUGAAUACGU